ensembl:lncRNA
UCAUGUGUAAAGAUCCCAGCUGUCCUCCGCAACGCCAUCAUUCGUAUCCUGCUCAGCCCGGAUGUGACCAUCAGCUCCCACCGCUGCCACUACCGGUUCGAGUGCAGGAGCAAGGGGAACGAGCUGCUGAUGGUCGUGGGGCCUUCCAAUAUCUGUGCCUGAAAUGCCAACUGCUUGCCUCAGCUAGAGCACCCACUGUGGAAGCUGAAUGGUGGCAGCUGGGUGUCUCCUCUGUCUUUCGUCCAGCGGGAGGAGCUGGAGAAGCUCCAGCCAGCAGCCCCACCAGGAGCUUGGGUGUGCGCCCGCACGGCGCCAGCGUGUCCUGUGCCCUGGCCCCCGCAGGCGCUCCUGAUUUCCAAAAAACGGCUGUCACAGUGAGCAAAAGGUGGAUAUCUCGGAUUGGAGCUUGUACCUUGGCAAACAGCGACUCCGGAAGGAGCCUAUGGAAAAGCAGCUGGGAAUCUUCCCAUGAAGCUGUCCUUCGUACAAAUGGGGCAAAGCAAGAACUCUGAACACGAGGGCCACAGAGGCUGCUAUGGCAUGAAGGACGGCUGAGGGUGGACAGCAGAAUGGUGAGCAAGGACAGCAGGGUGCACCAGCCAUCUGGACGAGGCGUUUGCAUGAGACUGACCCUGAGUGCUUCCUCCAGUUCUGUUGCCCGUGUUUUUAAAAAUCAUUGAAAAAUGGAAGGGGUCCAGAAAAAAGCCCCAGAAAUGGCUGACAAAAAAUACUUCUAUUGUACAUUACGUAUUAGUGUAUAAGCAUAGGUUUAGGGAGAUUAGAGAGGAUACCAGAAGUCUAUUUGUCUAUUGGAUAAAAGCAUAACAGAAAGUAAUGAGUAGAAGCUGAGACUGGACAAAGUCAUACUGAAAAUAAUGGUGUAGGAGAUUCCCUAUUGGAAGAAGGAAGGUGCAUUCUCCAUCUCUUAGUGUUUGCUUCUCAACUCCGGGUGUCUUUCUAGAGAUGUUUUCCCCAAACACGUACUAGGUGCAGUACCCAGUAACACAUAAAGGCUGCUAAAACAGGCAAUGAAGCAGGCAGUCCAAGAGAGAGCAUCCCCCUUCAUUGCUGCACUGGCAGAAGGGCAGCACCAACACGGAGAUGGCGGCAUGAUCCUGACCAGGACAGGAAGCAACGCCAAGAGAGAUGCCACCAGAUCUCAGCAGGGCUCAGCUGCCUCCCAGCAUGGCCCCGUCCCACGGGCCCGCUGGGACCCCCUCUCCAGCCAUGACCGGCUCAGUGCUCCCCAUCCCACUGUCCUCCAGGGCGCACUGGACAUGCCUGGCUCCUGGGAUUCAGGCAACCUUCGACAGGCAGCUCUGAAAGCUGGGAAAGAUGGGUCAUCCUCAGAAUAGACUGUCUUAAGGUCACCUUUGGCUCUCAGACCUCUAUUUAAAGAUGCAAGAGCUUCAUUUAAUGCUGAACACAGGACACCCCAGGGGUGCAUUCACAUGCCCUUCAGUUCAGAUCUCUCUUCUGGAGAUGCUGCUGCAAAUCUCCAAGGAAAAGUCUGGACCAGUAGCCCUUCUCCAGAACCAGGCAAUGGGGGCCGGGAGAUCCUGGCCCCAGAAAGCCAGGGCUUAACUCUGCUCCCAGACAUGAGCAGCAAGGAGGCAGACCCUGUGUCCUGCGUUCAGUGAGGAAGGGAGAGAGUGGUGGGGAGAUGAGGAUUUCUUACUGACUUCUGGGAACUGGAGCUCUUGUCUGUGUCAAGGAUAUUAUUUAUGCUCACGAGAUGCAGACUGAUUAUGAGAAACAUAUUGAUUGAGGUUUCACAGCUACUGAACACAGUAGAUAUGUAUCAGUUACACCACAGCCCAAACCUGUAUCAAUGUGUUUCUAAUAAUCAGCUGGCAUCUCAUUAACAUAAAUAACUGUCUUAUCCCAUUUGGGAGAGCGGCUCCGUGGCUUGCUAACUGCACAUUACUGAAAUGCCAAUUGCUUAUUAGAACAAUCUUUCUGCAGGUCUAACUCCCAGGGAAUGGUGGCGUAAUAAGACAUCACUUGUUACAUAGUUGUUAGACCUUGGUAAAUAUGUUUCUAAUCAGCAAUUAGUACUCAAUUAACACACUGAAAAUAUCAUUUUCAGUCUAAAUGAAGCUUUUACAGAAAUCUGGAAAGAAAAGUGAGAAGAUGCAAGUAAACAAAGCUUGGAUUACAAGCUAAAAUCAAAAAGACGCAUAUGGAAGAACAGCUCAAGUGCUCACUCGAUGCUUAGGACAAAUUUUCAUGUCAUGUCAAUAUAGCUCCAGGAAAAAUGGUGUUGUUCACUUUGUCAUAGAGACAAAAGGCCAAAACUGGCCAGGAAACCUUGGUAGCCCAUCGCAAAAUUGCAGGAGGUAAAGCUGGGACUGACUUGCGGGCUAAGCCUUGCCAAGAGCCAUCCCUUCAUGACCCUGCCCGUAUAGUCUCCCUGUUUACUACUGGGAGUCUAAAAGUGGGACCAGGUGUCAUUCACAUGUGCUCAGGAAGGUGGAAGAAAAGAUGCUCCACUUCAAAAUAAAUGGUGCGUUUCAGUUUUCCUCCA